AGGGCAAUAUUUAAAAUUAAACAAUAUAAUUCAACAAGUUGUGCAGUUUCUGAGUGGCAGCUGGAGGAAGUGCAAGUAUUCUGGGCAAAAAAGGAAGAGGGUCUUUCCCUGAGUAUUCUCAAGCACAUGAUCAAGAAGUUGGAUGCCAGCUGCUCAGAGCAUAACCCCAAACUAAAGCUUAUACACACCGAAUGUCUGAGGGUUUGUGGCAACUGGUUAGCAGAAACCUGCUUAGAAAACCCUGCAGUCAUCAUGCAGACCUACCUAGAAAAGGCAGUGGAAGUUGCUGGAAAUUAUGACAAAGGA